rnacentral:rRNA from 2 species
CGGACUUGCUCCUGANUUACGGCGGANGGGUGAGUACACGUGGGCAACCUGCCUAUAAGACUGGGAUAACUUCGGGAAACCGGAGCUAAUACCGGAUACGUUCUUUUCUCGCAUGAGAGAAGAUGGAAAGACGGUUUACGCUGUCACUUAUAGAUGGGCCCGCGGCGCAUUAGCUAGUUGGUGAGGUAAUGGCUCACCAAGGCGACGAUGCGUAGCCGACCUGAGAGGGUGAUCGGCCACACUGGGACUGAGACACGGCCCAGACUCCUACGGGAGGCAGCAGUAGGGAAUCUUCCGCAAUGGACGAAAGUCUGACGGAGCAACGCCGCGUGAACGAAGAAGGCCUUCGGGUCGUAAAGUUCUGUUGUUAGGGAAGAACAAGUACCAGAGUAACUGCUGGUACCUUGACGGUACCUAACCAGAAAGCCACGGCUAACUACGUGCCAG